rnacentral:rRNA from 1 species
GUCUGGGUGAAAUAAAUAUUAAGUCUGGCCUGCCCACUGAAAAUUUUAAAGGGCUGCGGUAAUUUGACCGUGCGAAGGUAGCAUAAUCAAUAGUCUUUUAAUUGAAGGCUUGAAUGAAAGGUCUGACAAGAAAGUGACUGUCUUGGUGUCUGGUAAUGAAUUUAACAUUUGUGUGAAAAGGCACAAAUAAACUGAGGGGACGAUAAGACCCUAUAAAAUUUUAUGUUUAUAAAUGUUGCGUAAGAGGUAGAGUAUAAGUUAGGUAAUGUUUUAAUCAUUUUGCUGGGGAGGCAAGGAUAAAAUUAAAUAACUGUUCUUAAAAUUAAAUAAAAAUAUUUAGAAGUUGAUCCUUUAGUGGGGAUUAUAAGAUUAAGUUACUUUAGGGAUAACAGCGUGAUUUCUCUUGAGAGUCCUUAUCGACAGAGUUAGUUGCGACCUCGAUGUUGAAUUAAAGCUUCCCCUAGGAGCAGAAGUUUAGGUGGGUAGGUCUGUUCGACCUUUAAUAGCUUUACAUGAUUUGAGUUCAAACCGGUGUGAG